rnacentral:rRNA from 1 species
AACACGUAAUUCAUUACGAAGUUUAAUUCAUUGAGCAUCAAACUUUUAAAUUGAAGAGUUUGAUCAUGGCUCAGAUUGAACGCUGGCGGCAGGCCUAACACAUGCAAGUCGAACGGUAACAGGAAGCAGCUUGCUGCUUUGCUGACGAGUGGCGGACGGGUGAGUAAUGUCUGGGAAACUGCCUGAUGGAGGGGGAUAACUACUGGAAACGGUGGCUAAUACCGCAUAACGUCGCAAGACCAAAGAGGGGGACCUUCGGGCCUCUUGCCAUCAGAUGUGCCCAGAUGGGAUUAGCUUGUUGGUGAGGUAACGGCUCACCAAGGCGACGAUCCCUAGCUGGUCUGAGAGGAUGACCAGCCACACUGGAACUGAGACACGGUCCAGACUCCUACGGGAGGCAGCAGUGGGGAAUAUUGCACAAUGGGCGCAAGCCUGAUGCAGCCAUGCCGCGUGUAUGAAGAAGGCCUUCGGGUUGUAAAGUACUUUCAGCGGGGAGGAAGGUGUUGUGGUUAAUAACCGCAGCAAUUGACGUUACCCGCAGAAGAAGCACCGGCUAACUCCGUGCCAGCAGCCGCGGUAAUACGGAGGGUGCAAGCGUUAAUCGGAAUUACUGGGCGUAAAGCGCACGCAGGCGGUCUGUCAAGUCGGAUGUGAAAUCCCCGGGCUCAACCUGGGAACUGCAUUCGAAACUGGCAGGCUUGAGUCUUGUAGAGGGGGGUAGAAUUCCAGGNNNNNNNNNNNNNNNNNNNNAGAAUUCCAGGUGUAGCGGUGAAAUGCGUAGAGAUCUGGAGGAAUACCGGUGGCGAAGGCGGCCCCCUGGACAAAGACUGACGCUCAGGUGCGAAAGCGUGGGGAGCAAACAGGAUUAGAUACCCUGGUAGUCCACGCCGUAAACGAUGUCUACUUGGAGGUUGUGCCCUUGAGGCGUGGCUUCCGGAGCUAACGCGUUAAGUAGACCGCCUGGGGAGUACGGCCGCAAGGUUAAAACUCAAAUGAAUUGACGGGGGCCCGCACAAGCGGUGGAGCAUGUGGUUUAAUUCGAUGCAACGCGAAGAACCUUACCUGGUCUUGACAUCCACGGAAGUUUUCAGAGAUGAGAAUGUGCCUUCGGGAACCGUGAGACAGGUGCUGCAUGGCUGUCGUCAGCUCGUGUUGUGAAAUGUUGGGUUAAGUCCCGCAACGAGCGCAACCCUUAUCCUUUGUUGCCAGCGGUCCGGCCGGGAACUCAAAGGAGACUGCCAGUGAUAAACUGGAGGAAGGUGGGGAUGACGUCAAGUCAUCAUGGCCCUUACGACCAGGGCUACACACGUGCUACAAUGGCGCAUACAAAGAGAAGCGACCUCGCGAGAGCAAGCGGACCUCAUAAAGUGCGUCGUAGUCCGGAUUGGAGUCUGCAACUCGACUCCAUGAAGUCGGAAUCGCUAGUAAUCGUGGAUCAGAAUGCCACGGUGAAUACGUUCCCGGGCCUUGUACACACCGCCCGUCACACCAUGGGAGUGGGUUGCAAAAGAAGUAGGUAGCUUAACCUUCGGGAGGGCGCUUACCACUUUGUGAUUCAUGACUGGGGUGAAGUCGUAACAAGGUAACCGUAGGGGAACCUGCGGUUGGAUCACCUCCUUACCUUAAAGAAGCGUACUUUGCAGUGCUCACACAGAUUGUCUGAUGAAAA